rnacentral:rRNA from 1 species
GAUGAACGCUGGCGGCGUGCCUAAUACAUGCAAGUCGAGCGAACAGACGAGGAGCUUGCUCCUCUGACGUUAGCGGCGGACGGGUGAGUAACACGUGGAUAACCUACCUAUAAGACUGGGAUAACUUCGGGAAACCGGAGCUAAUACCGAAUAAUAUAUUGAACCGCAUGGUUCAAUAGUGAAAGACGGUUUUGCUGUCACUUAUAGAUGGAUCCGCGCCGCAUUAGCUAGUUGGUAAGGUAACGGCUUACCAAGGCAACGAUGCGUAGCCGACCUGAGAGGGUGAGCGGCCACACUGGAACUGAGACACGGUCCAGACUCCUACGGGAGGCAGCAGUAGGGAAUCUUCCGCAAUGGGCGAAAGCUUGACGGAGCAACGCCGCGUGAGUGAUGAAGGUCUUCGGAUCGUAAAACUCUGUUAUUAGGGAAGAACAAAUGUGUAAGUAACUAUGCACGUCUUGACGGUACCUAAUCAGAAAGCCACGGCUAACUACGUG